AGUGAACGCUGGCGGUAGGCCUAACACAUGCAAGUCGAACGGCAGCACAGUAAGAGCUUGCUCUUACGGGUGGCGAGUGGCGGACGGGUGAGGAAUACAUCGGAAUCUACUUUUUCGGGGGGGAUAACGUAGGGAAACUUACGCUAAUACCGCAUACGACCUACGGGUGAAAGCAGGGGAUCUUCGGACCUUGCGCGAUUGAAUGAGCCGAUGUCGGAUUAGCUAGUUGGCGGGGUAAAGGCCCACCAAGGCGACGAUCCGUAGCUGGUCUGAGAGGAUGAUCAGCCACCCUGGAACUGAGCCACGGUCCAGACUCCUACGGGAGGCAGCAGUGGGGAAUAUUGGACAAUGGGCGCAAGCCUGCUCCAGCCAUACCGCGUGGGUGAAGAAGGCCUUCGGGUUGUAAAGCCCUUUUGUUGGGAAAGAAAAGCAGCAGGUUAAUACCCCGCUGUUCUGACGGUACCCAAAGAAUAAGCACCGGCUAACUUCGUG
rnacentral:rRNA from 1 species